ACGAAGGUGGCAAGCGUUGUUCGGAAUCACUGGGCUUAAAGAGCAUGUAGGCGGCUCAUCAAGCGUCUUGUGAAAUCCCUCGGCUCAACCGAGGAAUUGCUGGGCGAACUGAUUGGGCUUGAGGCAGGUAGGGGCGCGUGGAACUCUUGGUGGAGCGGUGGAAUGCGUAGAUAUCAAGAGGAACGCCAGAGGCGAAAGCGAUGCGCUGGGCCUGUCCUGACGCUGAGAUGCGAAAGCCAGGGGAGCAAACGG
rnacentral:rRNA from 1 species